rnacentral:rRNA from 1 species
GACGAACGCUGGCGGCGUGCUUAACACAUGCAAGUCGAACGGAAAGGCCCUGCUUUUGUGGGGUGCUCGAGUGGCCAACGGGUGAGUAACACGUGAGUAACCUGCCCUUGACUUUGGGAUACUUCAGGAAACUGGGGCUAAUACCGGAUAGGAGCUCCUGCUGCAUGGUGGGGGUUGGAAAGUUUCGGCGGUUGGGGAUGGACUCGCGGCUUAUCAGCUUGUUGGUGGGGUAGUGGCUUACCAAGGCUUUGACGGGUAGCCGGCCUGAGAGGGUGACCGGCCACAUUGGGACUGAGAUACGGCCCAGACUCCUACGGGAGGCAGCAGUGGGGAAUAUUGCACAAUGGGCGGAAGCCUGAUGCAGCAACGCCGCGUGCGGGAUGACGGCCUUCGGGUUGUAAACCGCUUUCGCCUGUGACGAAGCGUGAGUGACGGUAAUGGGUAAAGAAGCACCGGCUAACUACGUG